CCACAGCCAUGAUGAUCUUGACGCCAUGUCAUUUUCCUGAAAACAUUUGUGAUGUUUUUAAGUCACUACCUCUUCUGAGCUUUUG